rnacentral:rRNA from 1 species
GGAACUGAAACAUCUAAGUACCCCGAGGAAAAGAAAUCAACCGAGAUUCCCCCAGUAGCGGCGAGCGAACGGGGAGGAGCCCAGAGCCUGAAUCAGCAUGUGUGUUAGUGGAAGCGUCUGGAAAGGCGCGCGAUACAGGGUGACAGCCCCGUACACAAAAGCGCAUGUGCUGUGAGCUCGAUGAGUAGGGCGGGACACGUGGUAUCCUGUCUGAAUAUGGGGGGACCAUCCUCCAAGGCUAAAUACUCCUGACUGACCGAUAGUGAACCAGUACCGUGAGGGAAAGGCGAAAAGAACCCCGGCGAGGGGAGUGAAAAAGAACCUGAAACCGUGUACGUACAAGCAGUGGGAGCCCCACCACCAAAGCAUUCUCUGGUGUUGAAGGCCCUGCAA